rnacentral:rRNA from 1 species
CAAUAGCGUAUAUUAAAGUUGUUGCAGUCAAAAAGCUCGUAGUUGGAUUUCGGGGCAGCCUGGCUGGUCCGCCGCAAGGCGAGUACUGGUCAGCCGCCCUUCCUCUCGAAAGCCCCGACUGCUCUUCAUUGCAGUGGUCGGGUAGUUCGGGACGUUUACUUUGAAAAAAUUAGAGUGUUCAAGGCAGGCCUACGCCUGAAUACAUUAGCAUGGAAUAAUGGAAGAGGACCUCGGUCCUAUUUUGUUGGUUUCCAGGGCCGAAGUAAUGAUUAAGAGGGACAGUUGGGGGCAUUCGUAUUUAAUUGUCAGAGGUGAAAUUCUCGGAUUUAUGAAAGACGAACAACUGCGAAAGCAUUUGCCAAGGAUGUUUUCAUUAA